GGGCUAGCGUUGCUCGGAAUUACUGGGCGUAAAGGGAGCGUAGGCGGAUAGUUUAGUCAGAGGUGAAAGCCCAGGGCUCAACCCGGGAUGUGCGUCCGAGACUGUGCGGCUCGAGUUCGGGAGAGGUGAGUGGAAUUCCCAGUGUAGAGGUGAAAUUCGUAGAUAUUGGGAAGAACACCGGUGGCGAAGGCGGCUCACUGGACCGACACUGACGCUGAGGCACGAAAGCGUGGGGAGCAAAC
rnacentral:rRNA from 1 species